GGAAGAGAAGUUUUAUUGGAAGAAGGGUCAAUGAUGAGAGAAGAAAGAAACAGGUGCUGAAUAGUCCUAAAAAUGGAGGUAGGUUUGUAGGAAAUUGUUACCGUUCAAAGGAGGUGAAAGGAUUUGACGGAUAAGACAUGAUGCUCAGAAACUAAAAAGUUGGAUGAUAUGGCAGCUGAAUACAUGACAAUCAUUACCUUUUUUUUGUUUAGAGAUGGCAUGCAAAAUUAAGCACAUUACUGCUAACCUGUAGUACAGGAACUUGAUCCCAGAGUAAUGUUUUUUAAAAAAGGUUUUAGCAGCUUCCUUCUUGUAGUUCACACAUGUACCUUUUAGCUUUUCGUCAUGUGUGUUUACCUACAAUGGUAUUGAUGUGAGUUAGACUUGGCUAGAAAACACUUUAGCUAUUUUUACCAAAUGGUGUCUUACAGAUCCAACUAAAGGAGAAUCAGGUUCUUCAUCAGACUCUUAUGACCCCAUAUUCAUCUUGAUUGAUCCAGAGCAUUCCCUACAUCGAGGCUUUGAUGAAGAUAUCUACAGGUUGAUUUUCUGUUCCGCAAUACUAUCCGCAUAUCAAUCCGUCCUUUAUUUUAAUCAUCAGGGGAUGAUUUCUCAAAGGAUGAGGCAUGAACCAUGACAAGUAUUCCUUUGUUUUUAAGGCCAUUUAUCAUGUGGGUUGUUACCAAGAAGGACUCCUUCACUCGUCUUUUCGCGUUGUGCUUCCCAAGCUGAUCAUUUCUAUUGUCAUAAAUAAGGAAUUUUCUUCUAAAUGGUGGUUCCUGGUGAGUUUUUUCUAGGAGGACCUGGUUGUCACCUGCUCUCAAAGUAGAGAGCAGUUUUCAUUCCUUUUGCCCUGAACUUUUGGUUAUUAAAUAGGCGAUACGCACCAUCCAUGCAAUAUUAUUAAGUUUCGUUUUUGCCUUCCGCUACACCAUUUAGUUAUAGA
rnacentral:lncRNA from 1 species